rnacentral:rRNA from 1 species
GAGUUUGAUCCUGGCUCAGAAUCAACGCUGGCGGCGUGCCUAACACAUGCAAGUCGAGCGAGAAAGGGUAGCAAUACCUGAGUAAAGCGGCGCACGGGUGAGUAACACGUGACUAACCUACCCUGGAGUGGGGAAUAACUGAGGGAAACCUUAGCUAAUACCGCAUAAUACCCACGGGUCAAAGGAGCAAUUCGCUCUGGGAGGGGGUCGCGGCCGAUUAGUUAGUUGGCGGGGUAACGGCCCACCAAGACGAUGAUCGGUAUCCGGCCUGAGAGGGCGCACGGACACACUGGAACUGAAACACGGUCCAGACUCCUACGGGAGGCAGCAGUGGGGAAUUUUGCGCAAUGGGGGAAACCCUGACGCAGCAACGCCGCGUGGAGGAUGAAGUCCUUCGGGACGUAAACUCCUUUCGAUCGGGACGAUUAUGACGGUACCGGAAGAAGAAGCCCCGGCUAACUUCGUGCCAGCAGCCGCGGUAAUACGAGGGGGGCGAGCGUUGUUCGGAAUUAUUGGGCGUAAAGGGUGCGUAGGCGGUUUGGUAAGUCUGAUGUGAAAUCUAUGGGCUCAACUCAUAGUCUGCAUCGGAAACUGCCGGGCUUGAGUGUGGGAGAGGUGAGUGGAAUUUCCGGUGUAGCGGUGAAAUGCGUAGAUAUCGGAAGGAACACCUGUGGCGAAAGCGGCUCACUGGACCAUAACUGACGCUGAUGCACGAAAGCUAGGGGAGCAAACAGGAUUAGAUACC